UCAUGACCUGAGGUGAAGGCAGUCGCCCAACAGACUGAGCCACCCAGGAGUCCCCAAACUGGUUAAUAUUAUAAGAUAGAACCGAGGAAAACCAAAGGCAUACUCGAGUGUAUUCCCCAGAAACUUCACUUUAGAAUGAGAUGGACAUCAAGGAAAAUCAACAUUUUCUUUUUCUUCUCUCUUCCUUCUUUCCUUUUUUCUUGGAUGAGCCAGUCAGCUAACUGGUUGCCAGAAUGGAAAGGGCCUGGCACACAGUUUAAUCCUAAAGACUGGGUGGCCCUUGAGCCCAUGAAAGUGAAGACAUGUGUUCCACCUCGGGCAGAUGUCCGUGUCCUCAGCCCUUACCACUUGGCAGGCACUGUCCUUAAAAGCUAUAAAUGCUUUGUCGCGUUUACUCUUCUCAGCAACUCUCUGAAUUCAGUUCUGCUAUUAUUCCCAUUCUGCAGAGGAACAAAUUAAGGCUUUCUACGUGAAAUAUCUUGCUCACGAUCUCCCAGCCUUGGGUCAUAGGUGUGGAUCGUCUGGGUGGAUCAGGGGCCAGAGUCCAAACCUACAUUUAUGACACUUGGAAAUGGGCAUUUAAACAUUCUCGUAGGGACCAGUGCCAGUUAGAGGUUUAAUCUGAGUGGGUAUUUCUUAUACCUUUAAAAGAGGCUUAAGAAGAAAAUGAUUAUACUUUGUAUUGCCUACGAGAUAGUUCAGCUCACUCAAUGAGUAUUAGUUGAAUUGAGUUUAUGUUAGAUCUUACCUGAGACCAAAAUACAGAUGGGACUCUGCCACCCUCCGGCUCAGAUCUUUUUUUCCCUACUUCCCAGGAGAAGUUCUAACUUCUUACUGUGAGCUCCUUACUUCAUGUCCUUGACGAUCUGGUCUGCGCCUCCUCUCCAGCCUCCACCAUCUUGUUUGUCCCCCCCAGAGCCUCCCUCUGACCAUGUGGAACAACUUGCCAUUCUCUCGGUAGACCCUGGGCUUUGGCGCUUCCUAUUCUGCUGGGAACGACUUUGGCCAGGUCUUCAUCAUUCCUUAGGAGUUAGCUCAACUGUCACCACCUCCAAUGGCCAGCCUUCAUCCCCUGUAGUCUUGCAGCAGUGCCUUCCUCUGAGUUCCACGACACCCUACAUUCACUUAUCAUACGUUAUAUUAUUAUUGUCCUUUUGCCUGCCUGUCUUUGCCACAGGCAAGAAAACAUGCCAGUAAGAGCUUAGGUUAGGUUUCAGCCUUGGCUCUAACAUGUGUGCCCUUGAACAACAUUGCUUCUCCUCUCUGAACCUUAAUUUCCUCAUCUGUAAAAUGGGCAGUAAGCAAGGUAAUUUACGUGGCGCACAAUGACUGGCUUGUAGUAAGUCCAGGGCUGGCUAUGUAUCUUCAGGGCUGGUCUUCUUCAACGGAUCAUCAGGGGAGUGAUAGCUCUACCUAGACCAGUGCUUUUCAAAUUGUCUGCCUCAGAACUGCCUGGAGGGUUUGCUGAAACACACAUUACUGGGCUCCACCUUGAGUUUUUGAUCCAGUGGGUCUGGAGUCGGGCUUGGGAAUUCUCAUGUCUAAUUAGUUCUCAGGCGAUGCCAAGGCUGAUUGGCCACACCCUGAGAACCACUAGGCGAGGCAACUGGAGGGGGGGUGGAUGUCUGAUUAAAGUGGCUGACCACUUGGUGCUGAGAUAAACUCAUACUAGAGCAUAAGGCAACCCCUCACCAGUGGAUGUGGCCACAGAAUUUCUACUAAUACAACCAUUCAGCCAAGAUUUGUUGAGCAUCUACUGUGUCCAGACAUUGUGCUAAAUAUUCAUGACAGAGCAGCGAGGGACACAGACAAGAAAGUCCCCGACGUUGAUGAGCUCGCAGUCUAAGGGCCCUGUUUUGGAGGGGGUGGGGGGGUGCUUCCACAGCUGGUCUGAGGAACUACUAACUUUAAAGACACUGAUGUCAAAAAUUGCCUUGCUAUUUAUUGCAUCAUUGUAGUUGCCUCUAAAUAAUUGAUUUUGCCAAAAGGAUAAAUCAAAACUGAUUAUGGUAAUCCCAUAAUCCCCUUGUCCGGAACUGUAGCCUUGUACUGGCACUGAUCUUAGGUGAAGUCAGCCCACGGAACAGGGCAGGGGAGAGUCUGGAGAAUCAGAGCCAGGCUGUGAUAUAACAUCUGUUCAAUGACAUGAUAAAUCUCUCUAUAGUUAUUACGAUUUUAACUAGCCAAUUGAAGUAGGAGUUUUCUGCUAUGGUGCUGAAGUUUCCCUAUGACAUAAUAGCUCUCCUUUACAAAGAGCUUAUGAUGUGCCAGCCACUGGCUCCAGGAAGUAGGCACAAUUACUGUCCCAUUGUUUAGGAGGAAACUGAGAGCAACGUUAAGUCCCUUGCCUGCAAGUUGGGUGCAGAGACGUGAAAGGUAAGGCUAUGUUAUGGAGCAUGAAGAGCCGGUGAGGGGAACAUAAAUCAAUGCUUGGCCAUGACACCAACCUAAAUAGUUUACAAUCACGCUGUCCUUCCUUAAGCUUCUUCCAACCCUAAGCUGCUAAGAAUGGAAGAACCAACCAACUGGACUUUGUCUUGGUCUGACCAACUGGGAAUCAUGGAAGGCAGUUGACUUGCCCAGGCUGGCCCCCUCUUGUUCUAGUUCUCCUCAUUAAAUUUGACUGCUUUCUAGAAGACAAUCAACAAACACAUUCUUAAGAGCUUUUUUGGCCCAACCUCCCGGUUAGGGAGUGAGGGAAUAGGGCUUGGCUGGAGAUGAUAGUUGCACCCUAGGUCCUAGAACUCCCCCAUGUGGCCAGAUUUCAACAAAACAUCCUCCAAGGAGAGUCCAUCCCUUAAGCCAUGAGCUCCUUCAAUGGCAACCAUUGCCAGAAAAGCAGCUGGGGGCCAUUUUGUCAAGAACUGCUCCUUUGGAGAGAGAGAGAGAAGACAUAGAGCCCGUAAUUUCCAGUGGGCCAGGGGCACCGUGUGUUCAGUGAUGGAGUGCGGAAGAUCUAGACUGUGGAGGAGCCUCAUUUCUACUCACGGUGCAACGGCCUUUUAAGAAGGCUUCAAAAGGGAGCUUGGGAGGCUGGUUAAAACCAGCCCUUACCUUCCUUACCAUUCUGCAAAGCCCGUGUCCUCUGCCUGCCGACUUGGGUAUGCCUCCCCUUCCCUAGACGAUGAAUUCGCGAGGGACCUCACGGGCUGCUGAGUACAAGCGUGCUUUUGAAUGGAUGCUUUUAUGGAUAUCAGUCCAAAAGUCACCAUCCACGGGAACUGGAAAGCAGCGUUUUGUUUUUGUUUUGUUUUUGCUUCUCCCCCCAGGGGCGGCCGGAUCAGCUCAAAAGCUCAAUUCUUGGAAGGGCCACUUCUUCUUGACACUGGAGAAGACACCCUUCCCUGUGCACCUAAAAAUAAAAAAUAAAUGCAUAAAUGAGUUUGUAAGUUUUUAACAAGGCCCCCGGGCCCCCUCCCGUAGGCCAUAAUUCCCUUUCAGCGGCAAGGCCUGCUUCGUGUUUCCGUGUACUCGGCCUUGCCAUCCAAGUGGACUUUCUGGGCUCCAUAUUUGGAGGAACUUCAGUCCCUGGAGGAACUCCCCUGGAGGCUUUUGAGACUCAAGAGCUUUGCAGAGCUCACUUGGGGGAGUUUCUGUUCGCUUUUUUUUUUUUUUUUUUAACAGGGGUUCAGCGGGAGGCAUGGAAAUUAGUAUUGACUGUAAAUGCAUCAGGAAUGAGCUCCCAGCUAAAACAAAACAAAACAAAAUCAAACAAACAACAAACCCUCAAAACUUGAAGAUGAGGGUUUAUCAUGGUUCUGAGGCUACAGCUAGCUUUCCAGUCCCCCAGAUAAGUCAUUGUCUGAGUCUGCUCUGGCUUAAGUUUUCUUGCCUUUAAAAACAGCAACAACAACUAUGACAACCCCAAGCAAUUUCAUUAAAAGCUUGCUCUCUUUUUUGGCCAGGGCACUAUGGAACCGUUACAGAAAGUGUUGGCUGUGCAGAGAGGUUCUCAGCAAAGAACAUCAUUGAAAAUAUUUU